GAACGGUGUCUUCGGACACAGUGGCGGACGGGUGAGUAACGCGUGAGAAUCUGGCUUUAGGUCUGGGACAACCACUGGAAACGGUGGCUAAUACUGGAUGUGCCGAAAGGUGAAAGGUUAACUGCCUGAAGAUGAGCUCGCGUCUGAUUAGCUAGUAGGUAGUGUAAUGGACUACCUAGGCGACGAUCAGUAGCUGGUCUGAGAGGACGAUCAGCCACACUGGGACUGAGACACGGCCCAGACUCCUACGGGAGGCAGCAGUGGGGAAUUUUCCGCAAUGGGCGAAAGCCUGACGGAGCAAUACCGCGUGAGGGAGGAAGGCUCUUGGGUCGUAAACCUCUUUUCUCAGGGAAGAACACAAUGACGGUACCUGAGGAAUAAGCAUCGGCUAACUCCGUGCCAGCAGCCGCGGUAAUACGGAGGAUGCAAGCGUUAUCCGGAAUGAUUGGGCGUAAAGCGUCCGCAGGUGGCGAUGUAAGUCUGCUGUUAAAGAGUCUAGCUCAACUAGAUAAAAGCAGUGGAAACUACAUAGCUAGAGUACGUUCGGGGCAGAGGGAAUUCCUGGUGUAGCGGUGAAAUGCGUAGAGAUCAGGAAGAACACCGGUGGCGAAGGCGCUCUGCUAGGCCGUAACUGACACUGAGGGACGAAAGCUAGGGGAGCGAAUGGGAUUAGAUACCCCAGUAGUCCUAGCCGUAAACGAUGGAUACUAGGCGUGGCUUGUAUCGACCCGAGCCGUGCCGUAGCUAACGCGUUAAGUAUCCCGCCUGGGGAGUACGCCGGCAACGGUGAAACUCAAAGGAAUUGACGGGGGCCCGC
rnacentral:rRNA from 1 species